rnacentral:rRNA from 1 species
AUCCUGGCUCAGAUUGAACGCUGGCGGCAUGCUUUACACAUGCAAGUCGAACGGGGUUGGGAGCUUGCUUCCAAUCUAGUGGCGAACGGGUGAGUAAUACAUCGGAACGUACCGUGUAGUGGGGGAUAACGUAGCGAAAGUUACGCUAAUACCGCAUACGAUCCACGGAUGAAAGCAGGGGACCUUCGGGCCUUGUGCUAUACGAGCGGCCGAUGUCUGAUUAGCUAGUUGGUGAGGUAAAGGCUCACCAAGGCGACGAUCAGUAGCGGGGUCUGAGAGGAUGAUCCGCCACACUGGGACUGAGACACGGCCCAGACUCCUACGGGAGGCAGCAGUGGGGAAUUUUGGACAAUGGGCGCAAGCCUGAUCCAGCCAUGCCGCGUGUCUGAAGAAGGCCUUCGGGUUGUAAGG